rnacentral:lncRNA from 1 species
GCUCAUUAAAGCUGAAGCCAAUCCACCCAUAUGUCCAUCUGCUCCUCUGCUUUCAAAAGCUCAGGAAAAUAGUUAUUGAAUUCCCAUGGAUUUUAACCUGCUAUGACGAGUUAGAAUCGUUGAUGACGAAAGAGGAAAUCCUAUCCUUCCUUCCCGUUGUUAACCAGCUUGUACAAGAAGUAAUGUUAUAGCCCAACCAAGCCCAGCCCAGCCAGC